rnacentral:rRNA from 1 species
GACGAACGCUGGCGGCGUGCCUAAUACAUGCAAGUAGAACGCUGAAGGAGGAGCUUGCUUCUCUGGAUGAGUUGCGAACGGGUGAGUAACGCGUAGGUAACCUGCCUGGUAGCGGGGGAUAACUAUUGGAAACGAUAGCUAAUACCGCAUAAUAGUAGAUGUUGCAUGACAUUUGCUUAAAAGGUGCAAUUGCAUCACUACCAGAUGGACCUGCGUUGUAUUAGCUAGUUGGUGGGGUAACGGCUCACCAAGGCGACGAUACAUAGCCGACCUGAGAGGGUGAUCGGCCACACUGGGACUGGGACACGGCCCAGACUCCUACGGGAGGCAGCAGUAGGGAAUCUUCGGCAAUGGACGGAAGUCUGACCGAGCAACGCCGCGUGAGUGAAGAAGGUUUUCGGAUCGUAAAGCUCUGUUGUAAGAGAAGAACGAGUGUGAGAGUGGAAAGUUCACACUGUGACGGUAGCUUACCAGAAAGAGACGGCUAACUACGUG